ACUGCUGAGAGCUUUGGGAACAAAGCCCCCCAAAAAAGCAUUUUGCAGGUCGGGUGGCAGGGAGGAAGAAAGAGAGAGAAUACAAUCAUCUUUUUAUGGGAAAAGAUGUCAAACUGUCAUGUUAGUCUCCGCUGAGACUCCAAGUGCUAACGGUUGCCAGGGUAACUGUUGUGCCAAGCCUCAACACUUAUGUAUUUUUCCAUUGAUAAUUGCUAAUGUGAACAAGUGCUGGCUUGCACUUUACACCUGCCUGGCUUGUAAGUCUACCUUAAUUGGAUGUGCCAAGUUUGAGGAAAAAGUAAUCUGCCCUUUCAAGACAAGUGACAGUGCCUUGAACUGAAGUAAAGCUUCAUGAAACCAAUAUGCAAGAGAGAAUGAAUAUCUGAAUAAAUACACAGCACUUAAUAGUAGCAGCUUGCAUCCAAAGAGCUCAAAACACUUCAUAAAGGGAUGGAUACAUUUCAUCACACUGACAUAUGGUUUGCUCUGUGCUUCUUGGACACUGACGAAAACCUGUAAUUAAGGACUCUUCUGGGUGACAGCAUAUGGAAUCACUAGGAGUUAGUGGUCUGCAAAUAUUGAAUGGAAAAUCUACUCAGCAAACAACUGAACUGUUUCUCCAUCAGUGAAGUGAGGAGGGAAGGGAAUUGUGUUUCUGCAAACGAAUUCAACACAUGUGCAAACUGGGAUCCUCCUCUUCCUUCACGUAACCAGUGAGCUCAUCAGUCAGCUAAUAAAAAUCUACGAAAAACUCAUUAAAUGUGCCAAGAAAGCAGCUCUUGCAAGAAACCUACAGAAAGUGAAAUAAUUUGAAAUGUAACAGUUCACUUGCUGAGUCACUGCCUAAGCUUGUGUCACCCUGCCGUUCCUCUGCAAUGCCCCCAUUGUUUUGUGCACAUGCUGUGUAUAAAAUCUAGAUCACGAGCUCCUCAAAUCAGGGAUUUUGCCUGUCUGACCCAUGAGGCACAGAGCUGUUUAUUGCAAAUGAAAGAGGACUGUGAUGGAGUGUCCAUCCCACACAAGACCUGAGGGGGCUAAGGUGCCUAGGUAGGCCAAUUAACUGCUCAGGCUGCACCUGGAGGAGGAACCAGGGAACAGGGAUUGAUUAGAGAUGUGACUCAGCUGGACAGGAACAGGAGAGGCCUGUAUAAAGCCCAAAAGCUGAGAGCAGCAAGGGGCUGCAGGGAAAUAGUCUGCAGUUGCUCCCUGGGAGAAGGGAGGUAUGUGGCUAGUAAGCUCAGAGAGGGGGGAGAGCCAGGAAGGUAGGAAAGGCUCAGUGGAGAAGCAGCAAGGCAUAGGAUAGUGCAGGCCUUGCCUACCAGAGAAGCAGCUGUUCUGGAGCUAUGGCUUGGGUUAAACCUCAUUGAAACUGGUGGGCAUGAUAGCCACCCUGGAUUUGGGAUAAAUGUAAGAAACAGUUAAGCUCCUUUAUGGAACCAGAAGAGGGGAAGCAGCUUUCACUCAAAGCACAGGCACGUGUGGGUGGAGAUGUCUUGCUGGCUAUUGUUUUGUAUGUCUGUGCAAAGGGACAUAGAAAGGCAGAGAAGCCGAGAGAAAGAAGCACCAGAUACAAAGUGAACAAGCACUGUGAAAAAGCAGAGAGCGCAAGCGAGCACCCUUGAGCCAAGUGCUGGCUAUGAAGCGGUUUGGAGAUGGGAGCAAAGAACUGUCUCCUGCUGCCGUCAGGGAAACAGGAAUUUUUACAGUCGUUGUAAAUAAACAGGAUUGCAUCCACGAUACCUGUCUCCACCAUCAGUUUCUCCUCCAACUGUAACAACCUGCAGGAGCCUGAAUUUUGGCUAAUUGCUGAGAUCAAAAAGGGAUAACAAUAGCUAGGCCUUGCGUGUUUUGUGUGUGUAGGACAGAGAGUCAUUUGAAUCCCACCUUACCAUGGUUGUUCUUCCUUUGUAUUACAUAUCCUGGGUAUGAAGCAAAAGACAUCACACUCCCCUGCUUUCCUGAGGGGCCUUGGGACUGAGAUUGAGGAGUUAGGUGCUUAAGGACCUAACCUAAGGUCGCGACACUGCUGGCUAAAAUAUU